rnacentral:rRNA from 1 species
AACGAACGCUGGCGGCAUGCCUAACACAUGCAAGUCGAACGAUACCUUCGGGUCUAGUGGCGACCGGUUGCGUACGGCGGGGGAAUCUGCCCGUAGGUACGGAAUAACUCCCGGAAAGGGGUGCUAAGACCGGCUAAUGUCUUAGGACAAAAGAGGUUGAGCCCGUGGAUGGGCCCGCGUUGGAUUAGCUUGGUGGUAGGGUAAAAGCCUAUCACGGCGACGAUCCAUAGCUGGUCUGAGAGGCAGAUCAGCCACACUGGGACUGAGACACGGCCGAGACUCCUACGGGAGGCAGCAGUGGGGAAUAUUGGACAAUGGCGGGAAGCCUGAUCCAGCACUGCCGCGUGAGUGAUGAAGGCCUUAGGGUUGUAAAGCUCUUUUACCCGGGAUGAUAAUGACAGUACCGGGAGAAUAAGCUCCGGCUAACUCCGUG